UAAAUUCUUUGGGGCGGAGUGAAAUUCUCCACCGGCAGUAUAGUCUGCGAAGGUCGUUGUCGACCCCGAAUCGGUGAAAUUCCGAUACCGACGGUAUAGUCCGGACGAUAAAAGAGAAAU
rnacentral:ncRNA from 2 species